GAUGAACGCUAGCGGAGGCUUAACACACGCAAGUCGAGGGGCAGCAUAGGGUAGCAAUACUCUGAUGGCGACCGGCAAACGGGUGAGUAACGCGUAUGCAACCUACCCUGUACAGGGGGAUAACCCGGAGAAAUUCGGACUAAUAUCCCGUAAUAAUAUCCGGAGGCAUCUUUGGAUAUUAAAGUUCCGACGGUACGGGAUGGGCAUGCGUAACAUUAACUGGUUGGUAAGGUAACGGCUUACCAAGGCUAUGAUGUUUAGGGGUCCUGAGAGGGUGGUCCCCCACACUGGUACUGAGACACGGACCAGACUCCUACGGGAGGCAGCAGUGAGGAAUAUUGGUCAAUGGGCGCAAGCCUGAACCAGCCAUCCCGCGUGCAGGAAGACGGCCCUAUGGGUUGUAAACUGCUUUUCCAGGGAGAGAAACUUACGCACGUGUUGCGUGACUGACGGUACCCUGGGAAUAAGCAUCGGCUAACUCCGUG
rnacentral:rRNA from 1 species